GGGCCCGCACAAGCAGUGGAGCAUGUGGUUUAAUUCGAAGCAACGCGCAGAACCUUACCAACCCUUGACAUCCUGCGAAUCUCUUGGAAACGAGAGAGUGCCUUCGGGAACGCAGUGACAGGUGGUGCAUGGCUGUCGUCAGCUCGUGUCGUGAGAUGUUGGGUUAAGUCCCGCAACGAGCGCAACCCACGUCUUUAGUUGCCAGCAUUUAGUUGGGCACUCUAGAGAGACCGCCGGUGAUAAACCGGAGGAAGGUGUGGAUGACGUCAAGUCAUCAUGCCCCUUACAUCCUGGGCUACACACGUACUACAAUGCUACGGACAAAGGGCAGCAAGUUCGCGAGGACAAGCAAAUCCCAUAAACCGUGGCUCAGUUCAGAUCGUAGGCUGCAACUCGCCUACGUGAAGGAGGAAUC
rnacentral:rRNA from 1 species